rnacentral:rRNA from 1 species
CCUACGGGAGGCAGCAGUGAGGAAUAUUGGACAAUGGACGGAAGUCUGAACCAGCCAUGCCGCGUGCAGGAAGACGGCUCUAUGAGUUGUAAACUGCUUUUGUACAAGGGUAAACCUGAAUACGUGUAUUCAGCUGAAAGUACUGUACGAAUAAGGAUAGGCUAACUCCGUGCCAGCAGCCGCGGUAAUACGGAGGUUCCAAGCGUUAUCCGGAUUUAUUGGGUGUAAAGGGUGCGUAGGCGGAUUGUUAAGUUAGAGGUGAAAUGUCCGAGCUUAACUCGGGAACUGCCUCUAAUACUGUUGAUCUAGAGUGUAGAUGCGGUAGGUGGAAUGUAUGGUGUAGCGGUGAAAUGCUUAGAGAUC